rnacentral:rRNA from 1 species
AUGCUUCUCCAGGUUGCCAUCGUCCAGUCCGUCGGUCGGCCGGCGGCAGGAUGCUUCUUCGGGUCGUCGUUGUCCACCGUGUCGGUCGGUGGGCUGAUCCGUAGAGAGCGCCGCCAUCUUAGCAUGUGCAUGGAUACAACACACACUAACUCUACAAACAAGGACGUAGGAAAUUUGAAGCCGACAAAAGAACAUGUAUUCAGAGAAGUAUGCUCCUCCUCACUUUGUGGAGAUGCUGGUAGGAAUGAGGUGACUCACUACAAACCAUUGCCACCGGUGGAUGUGUCCCAAAGAUUCUUAACUAGCUACUUGGACACACUGAUGGGUGUUGCACAAAAUCCUCUGUAUGAUCCAAUAAAAGGCAAGGGUCCUGCAGUGAUUAAUUACGAUUCAGUUCAGCUUCAGACUAUGAAACAAACAGGAAGUGCGGGUGCUGGAAUGAUUCUUCGGGAUAGCACAGGCAGUAUUAUUUUCUCCUCCUGCAGAGAACUCUUCUCAUGCAGAGAUGCUAUGGAGGCUGAGCUGUGUGCUUGCAUGGAGGACAUUUCAUUAUCAAUUCAGCGGUCUGAUCUUCCUAUCAUGUUGGAGAUUGAUUCAAUUCAGGUGGACUGA